rnacentral:rRNA from 1 species
AUUGAACGCUGGCGGCAGGCCUAACACAUGCAAGUCGAACGAGUGGCGGACGGGUGAGUAAUGUCUGGGAAACUGCCUGAUGGAGGGGGAAACCUACGGGAAAAGGUAGCUAAUACCGCAAAACAUCAAAUGGCCCAAGAUGGGUUUAGCUGGGUGGUGGGGUAACGGCUCCCCAAGGCGACGAUCCCUGUCUGGUCGGAGAGGAUGACCAGCAACACUGGAACUGAGACCCGGUCCAGACUCCUACGGGAGGCAGCAGUGGGGAAUAUUGCACAAUGGGCGCAAGCCUGAUGCAGCCAUGCCGCGUGUAUGAAGAAGGCCUUCGGGUUGUAAAGUACUUUCAGCGGGGAGGCGUUACCCGCAGAAGAAGCACCGGCUAACUCCGUGCCAGCAGCCGCGGUAAUAC